UACGGAGGGGGCUAGCGUUAUUCGGAAUUAUUGGGCGUAAAGGGCGCGUAGGCGGCCCGGUAAGUCAAAGGGGAAAUCCCUCGGCUCAACUGAGGAACUGCCUUUGAUACUGCAAAUCUCGAGUCCGGAAGAGGUGAGUGGAAUUCCUAGUGUAGAGGUGAAAUUCGUAGAUAUUCGCAAGAACACCAGUGGCGAAGGCGGCUCACUGGCCCGGUACUGACGCUGAGGUGCGAAAGCGUGGGGAGCAAACAGG
rnacentral:rRNA from 1 species